AAGCGCUUGUGACCAGACUUGGGCCUGGCAGUUCAGCCGUCCUUCUGGGCGGUGCACUCUGCCGGUUCAGGCCAGCAUCAGUUGUCGGUCGGGGAGAAAGGUAGCGGGAAUGUGGCUCUUCGGAGUGUUAUAGCCCGUUGCUAUGCCCUUCCGGCGACUGAGGAUAGCGCUUUUGCACGGAUGCUGGCGUAAUGGUCAUCAGC
rnacentral:rRNA from 1 species